AUUGAACGCUGGCGGCAUGCUUUACACAUGCAAGUCGAACGGCGGCGCGGGCUUCGGCCUGGCGGCGAGUGGCGAACGGGUGAGUAAUGCAUCGGAACGUGCCCAGUAGUGGGGGAUAGCCCGGCGAAAGCCGGAUUAAUACCGCAUACGACCUGAGGGUGAAAGCGGGGGACCGAAAGGCCUCGCGCUAUUGGAGCGGCCGAUGUCGGAUUAGCUAGUUGGUGGGGUAAAGGCUUACCAAGGCGACGAUUCGUAGCUGGUCUGAGAGGACGACCAGCCAAACUGGAACUGAGACACGGCCCAGACUCCUACGGAAGGCAGCAGUGGGGAAUUUGGACCAAUGGGGGCACCCCUGUCCCGGCAUGGCGGCGUGCGGAAGAAGGGCCUUCGGGUGGUAAACCGCUUUUGUUGGGAAGGAAUUCUUUUGGGUAAAUACCCGGGGGGAUGACGGUACCGGAAGAAUAAGCACCGGCUAACUACGUG
rnacentral:rRNA from 1 species